UGCAGUCGAACGCUUCUUUCCUCCCGAGUGCUUGCACUCAAUUGGAAAGAGGAGUGGCGGACGGGUGAGUAACACGUGGGUAACCUACCCAUCAGAGGGGGAUAACACUUGGAAACAGGUGCUAAUACCGCAUAACAGUUUAUGCCGCAUGGCAUAAGAGUGAAAGGCGCUUUCGGGUGUCGCUGAUGGAUGGACCCGCGGUGCAUUAGCUAGUUGGUGAGGUAACGGCUCACCAAGGCCACGAUGCAUAGCCGACCUGAGAGGGUGAUCGGCCACACUGGGACUGAGACACGGCCCAGACUCCUACGGGAGGCAGCAGUAGGGAAUCUUCGGCAAUGGACGAAAGUCUGACCGAGCAACGCCGCGUGAGUGAAGAAGGUUUUCGGAUCGUAAAACUCUGUUGUUAGAGAAGAACAAGGACGUUAGUAACUGAACGUCCCCUGACGGUAUCUAACCAGAAAGCCACGGCUAACUACGUGCCA
rnacentral:rRNA from 1 species